rnacentral:rRNA from 1 species
GACGAACCGUGCGAACGUUGUUCGGAAUCACUGGGCUUAAAGGGCGCGUAGGCGGGCUGCCAAGUCUGGGGUGAAAUCCUCCGGCUCAACCGGAGCAGGGCCUCGGAUACUGGCGGCCUGGAGGGGGGUAGGGGCGUGCGGAACUGUGGGUGGAGCGGUGAAAUGCGUUGAGAUCCACAGGAACUCCGGUGGCGAAGGCGGCACGCUGGACCCCAACUGGACGCUGAGGCGCGAAAGCCAGGGGAGCGAACGGGG